UGUAGCUCAGUGGUAGAGCACUUGCUUGAAGGUGUGAGGCCCUGAGUUCAAUCCUCAGCA
rnacentral:tRNA from 1 species